UGAGACACCCCUCGCUGCAGCCUGCAGCGCGAUGACGUAGUGGAUUAAUCCAAUACGUAGUGGAUGUUCAAACACGCAUGCGCAGUGAAUAUAAUGUUACGCGCAUGCGCGGUGCUGUGUUGUUGUUGAUGAACAAUCGCACGUGCUUUGGUAUUUCAAGAAGAAUCUGCCGAAAAACUAAGGAUUAUUUAACAACAGUGAUUGUAUAAAGAUUUGACUGGAUUUGGCAAGAUGCCCUUGCUCAUUAAAGAAGAUGGAGAUGUGGCUUUUAUCAGACUGUUGACAUGCCAGCUUUUUCACUAUGUUGUUAGUAAAGCAUCUUUCAGAGAAAAGGCUCAUGUAGUCUGGCUUGACAGUGUUGUCAACUGGAACACAUUCUCCGGGGUGUAAAGAUUUAUUUACAGACUGUCCACCAGGUCGAGUUGGAGGAAGGGUGUCCCAGGGAUGAAUUGUUCAUCUAUUCUGCAUCAGUAAAGCAGUGGUGGCGUGGCACUGACUUUAAACUAUUUAAGAUCAAACUGUGACAAAAGCUUUACCUGUGCUGACUGCAGUCAGUUAUAUGUGACCCUGCCUGUGAAAAAACAGGAUAAGUCUUGAAAUGUAAUUAUGAUAUAAUGAGCAUCAAAGUGUUGUUUUCAUUACUUUCACAUUGAUUUUGACAUUUGACAUGAUUUUACUCAGUCAACCCCACACACCCAGCCAACUUUUUCUUUGAACUUUUGCCCUUUGGCCGGCGCUACAAAGCACUGAACACUAUAAACAACAGUUUGUUCCUCAGGUUAUAUACCUAAACAAUUAAAGCACCCAUAACUUCCACACCUGUCAUAACUGUAUAUUGUUUAUAAUCACCACAUAGUGUACAUCUGUAACUACCAUUCUAAACUAUGCUACUGUAAAUAUCACCUAUUAUCUAUUUGUACAACAACAGCAUCUGAACAUCCAUACAGGCAUCACUACACACAAUUGUAAAAAAUGAGAAAAUAUAUAUACAUAUACUUACUGUACCAUGCUGCUUAUUUAAAUUAUUUUUGUUUAUAUAUUACUAGUGUCUUAUUGUCUUUAAUUUAACUUAGUUAUUCUAUUUAUGUCCGUAAAAUGUCACCAAGACAAAUUCCUUGUAUGUGACAAAAACAUACUUGGCAAUAAAGCUGAUUCUGAUUCAAUAUUAAAGAUAUCAAUGUUUUUUUACAGAAUGUUGUUUACAUUAUGUAGAAUGAGUUAAUGUAGAAAACAGUAAAUCACAGAAAGAUGACUAGCUGAGUUUUCACUAAGUUCAUGUUUAGGCCUAAUGUUUAUUGUUAAAAUGUUUUAAUAUUUGCAGUCACUGAUCAUCAGUGAAUUGAAUAAGCUGUGGGGUAAAAGUUAAAUAAACAAACAACUUAAAUAAAUGACAAUUAUU